AUUGAACGCUGGCGGCAGGCCUAACACAUGCAAGUCGAGCGGAUGAAGGGAGCUUGCUCCUGGAUUCAGCGGCGGACGGGUGAGUAAUGCCUAGGAAUCUGCCUGGUAGUGGGGGAUAACGUCCGGAAACGGGCGCUAAUACCGCAUACGUCCUGAGGGAGAAAGUGGGGGAUCUUCGGACCUCACGCUAUCAGAUGAGCCUAGGUCGGAUUAGCUAGUUGGUGGGGUAAAGGCCUACCAAGGCGACGAUCCGUAACUGGUCUGAGAGGAUGAUCAGUCACACUGGAACUGAGACACGGUCCAGACUCCUACGGGAGGCAGCAGUGGGGAAUAUUGGACAAUGGGCGAAAGCCUGAUCCAGCCAUGCCGCGUGUGUGAAGAAGGUCUUCGGAUUGUAAAGCACUUUAAGUUGGGAGGAAGGGCAGUAAGUUAAUACCUGGCUGUUUUGACGUGACCAACAGAAUAAGCACCGGCUAACUUCGU
rnacentral:rRNA from 1 species